ACGUGGCAGCUCAUGUCCUAAAUAGGAGCAGUCCUGGGCCGCUAUCCUGUGAGGGUGGAGACGCUCCCCGAGACUGGACAGACACCGAGAGGUGGAGCUGAGCUAAUACGAGGCUAAGGGAAUUCCAUGUAUUCCAGUUAUCCUGAGCUCACGUACAGCAGAGGAUACCCCCGAGCUUCACCGCCAUCUCUUACUAGGAUUCCAGGUGUGUGGCACUGCCUCUUGAAGUAUUAAGCACUGAGUGAAGUGUGAGCCCAGGACUUCCUGCUUGCUGGGCUGUCCCAUCCCUGUGCCAUCUCUGCAGCCCUUGGAGGAUCCCUUUCAAGGCUUCUACCUGGAGCAACUGCCCACAGUUCUGCCUUAAGAGUGCCUGAGAGACCUGGCAUCUCACAGCCUGCCCUCCAAAUCAUCACUCACUCUGCCAGGCACACCGGGUCUUCCUCCUCUUACUCGCCGCACCAAAGAAAUCAAAACCCAAACUGAGGUAUCAGAAACAUGUUUUUUUUUUUUUUCUUUUAAUAGUAAACCUCUUUACAACAAAUAUAGUGAAAGAGUUUUCAAACC
rnacentral:lncRNA from 1 species